rnacentral:rRNA from 1 species
UACGUAGGGUCCGAGCGUUGUCCGGAAUUACUGGGCGUAAAGAGCUCGUAGGUGGUUUGUCGCGUUGUCCGUGAAAACUCACAGCUCAACUGUGGGCGUGCGGGCGAUACGGGCAGACUGGAGUACUGCAGGGGAGACUGGAAUUCCUGGUGUAGCGGUGGAAUGCGCAGAGUAUCAGGAGGAACACCCGGUGGCGAAGGCGGGGUCUCUGGGCAGUAACUGACGCUGGAGGAGCGAAAGCGUGGGGAGCGAACAGG